rnacentral:rRNA from 1 species
AGAGUUUGAUCCUGGCUCAGGAUGAACGCUGGCGGCGUGCUUAACACAUGCAAGUCGAACGGUGAAGGAGAGCUUGCUCUUUGGAUCAGUGGCGAACGGGUGAGUAACACGUGAGCAAUCUGCCCCUGACUCUGGGAUAAGCGUUGGAAACGACGUCUAAUACUGGAUACGAGCUGCGACCGCAUGGUCAGCAGUUGGAAAGAAUUUCGGUCAGGGAUGAGCUCGCGGCCUAUCAGCUUGUUGGUGAGGUAAUGGCUCACCAAGGCGUCGACGGGUAGCCGGCCUGAGAGGGUGACCGGCCACACUGGGACUGAGACACGGCCCAGACUCCUACGGGAGGCAGCAGUGGGGAAUAUUGCACAAUGGGCGCAAGCCUGAUGCAGCAACGCCGCGUGAGGGACGACGGCCUUCGGGUUGUAAACCUCUUUUAGCAAGGAAGAAGCGAAAGUGACGGUACUUGCAGAAAAAGCGCCGGCUAACUACGUGCCAGCAGCCGCGGUAAUACGUAGGGCGCAAGCGUUAUCCGGAAUUAUUGGGCGUAAAGAGCUCGUAGGCGGUUUGUCGCGUCUGCUGUGAAAUCCCGAGGCUCAACCUCGGGUCUGCAGUGGGUACGGGCAGACUAGAGUGCGGUAGGGGAGAUUGGAAUUCCUGGUGUAGCGGUGGAAUGCGCAGAUAUCAGGAGGAACACCGAUGGCGAAGGCAGAUCUCUGGGCCGUAACUGACGCUGAGGAGCGAAAGGGUGGGGAGCAAACAGGCUUAGAUACCCUGGUAGUCCACCCCGUAAACGUUGGGAACUAGUUGUGGGGUCCAUUCCACGGAUUCCGUGACGCAGCUAACGCAUUAAGUUCCCGCCUGGGGAGUACGGCCGCAAGGCUAAAACUCAA